GGUUCCGUAGCUCAGUUGGAUAGAGCAACAGCCUUCUAAGCUGUGGGUCGUGGGUUCGAAUCCCGCCGGGAUCACCA
rnacentral:tRNA from 1 species